rnacentral:rRNA from 1 species
GUAGGUGGCAAGCGUUGUCCGGAAUUAUUGGGCGUAAAGCGCGCGCAGGCGGUUCUUUAAGUCUGAUGUGAAAGCCCACGGCUCAACCGUGGAGGGUCAUUGGAAACUGGAGAACUUGAGUACAGAAGAGGAAAGCGGAAUUCCACGUGUAGCGGUGAAAUGCGUAGAGAUGUGGAGGAUCACCAGUGGCGAAGGCGGCUUUCUGGUCUGUAACUGACGCUGAGGCGCGAAAGCGUGGGGAGCAAACAGGAUUAGAUACCCUGGUAGUCCACGCCGUAAACGAUGAGUGCUAAGUGUUAGGGGGGUUUCCGCCCCCCUUAGUGCUGCAGCUAACGCAUUAAGCACUCCGCCUGGGAGUACGGCCGCAAGGCUG